UACGUAGGUGGCAAGCGUUGUCCGGAUUUACUGGGCGUAAAGAGCGCGCAGGCGGCUGGCCAAGUCCGAUGUGAAAGCUCCCGGCUUAACUGGGAAACUGCAUCGGAAACUGGUCGGCUUGAAGGUGGGAGAGGGUAGCGGAAUUCCCGGUGUAGUGGUGAAAUGCGUAGAUAUCGGGAGGAACACCAGUGGCGAAGGCGACUACCUGGCCCAUUCUUGACGCUGAGGCGCGAAAGCUAGGGGAGCGAACGGG
rnacentral:rRNA from 1 species